rnacentral:lncRNA from 1 species
UAGCAUAGCAUUUGGCAAUGUGUAUCAACAGGGUUUAUGCAUCAUUCUACAGUAUGACCAACAGCAUAAUAUAUUCACAUGGAUUUUCUGGACAUGAUGUUUGGUUCAAAUAACAACAGCAUGGUCUAAUCAGCAUCCCAUCAAAACAAACAACAGCACACAAUAGCAUAGUAUCAUGUAAUCAAUACAAGUUCAUCAUCAAUAUACACCCUCAACCAAAAAUUCGAAAGGGCAAUGGCAA